rnacentral:rRNA from 1 species
UACGGAGGAUCCAAGCGUUAUCCGGAAUCAUUGGGUUUAAAGGGUCCGUAGGCGGUUUUGUAAGUCAGUGGUGAAAGCCCAUCGCUCAACGGUGGAACGGCCAUUGAUACUGCAAAACUUGAAUUAUUGGGAAGUAACUAGAAUAUGUAGUGUAGCGGUGAAAUGCUUAGAUAUUACAUGGAAUACCAAUUGCGAAGGCAGGUUACUAUCAAUAUAUUGACGCUGAUGGACGAAAGCGUGGGGAGCGAACAGG